GUAGGUGGCAAGCGCUGUCCGGAAUUAUUGGGCGUAAAGCGCGCGUAGGCGGUUCUUUAAGUCUGAUGUGAAAGCCCACGGCUCAACCGUGGAGGGUCAUUGGAAACUGGAGAACUUGAGUACAGAAGAGGAAAGCGGAAUUCCACGUGUAGCGGUGAAAUGCGUAGAGAUGUGGAGGAACACCAGUGGCGAAGGCGGCUUUCUGGUCUGUAACUGACGCUGAGGCGCGAAAGCGUGGGGAGCAAACAGGAUUAGAUACCCUGGUAGUCCACGCCGUAAACGAUGAGUGCUAAGUGUUAGGGGGUUUCCGCCCCCCUUAGUGCUGCAGCUAACGCAUUAAGCACUCCGCCUGGGAGUACGGCCGCAAGGCUG
rnacentral:rRNA from 1 species